ACCUACUGUUUAAUUUUGAGGGUUCGUUUUUACGAAUACUCAAAAUUAGCACUUUAAGCAACGGAAUUUAUUCGUUGGCGCUGUGCGUUAGCACUUUAAGCAACAGAAUAAACUGAACGCAUGUGAAGUUUGUUUGUUGGCGCUGUGCGUUAGCACUUUAAGCAACGGGAUUUAUUCGUUGGCGCUGUGCGUUAGCACUUUGAAAACUGCAUAUAUAUUUAGUGAUAUGACAUCUAAUUUGUAAUAUAUAAAGCUGAUAACUUUUUAAAAUUAUCGAAGUUGAUAGCUUCUAAUCUAUCAAACCUUUUUAACUGGUCAA
rnacentral:misc_RNA from 1 species